AUUGAACGCUGGCGGCAGGCCUAACACAUGCAAGUCGAACGAGUGGCGGACGGGUGAGUAAUGUCUGGGAAACUGCCCGAUGGAGGGGGAUAACUACUGGAAACGGUAGCUAAUACCGCCUACCAUCGGAUGUGCCCAGAUGUGAUUAGCUAGUAGGGGGGGGAACGGCUCACCUAGGCGACGGUCCCUAGCUGGUCUGAGAGGAUGACCCGCCACACUGGAACUGAGACACGGUCCAGACUCCUACGGGAGGCAGCAGUGGGGAAUAUUGCACAAUGGGCGCAAGCCUGAUGCAGCCAUGCCGCGUGUAUGAAGAAGGCCUUCGGGUUGUAAAGUACUUUCAGCGAGGAGGUGUUACUCGCAGAAGAAGCACCGGCUAACUCCGUGCCAGCAGCCGCGGUAAUAC
rnacentral:rRNA from 1 species